GAUGAACGCUGGCGGCGUGCCUAAUACAUGCAAGUCGAGCGAACAGAUAAGGAGCUUGCUCCUUUGACGUUAGCGGCGGACGGGUGAGUAACACGUGGGUAACCUACUUAUAAGACGGGGAUAACUUCGGGAAACCGGAUCUAAUCCCGGAGAAUAUUUCGAACCGCAUGGUUCGAUGGUGAAAUAUGGUUUUGCUAUCACGUCUAGGUGGACCUCGGCCGUAUUAUCUAGUUGUUAAGGUAACGGGUUACCAAGGGGACUAUACGUGACCGACCUGAGAGGGUGGUAGCCGGCAUGGGAGCGGAGACGCGCUCAAUACGCCUACGGGAGGCCCCAGUAGCGAAUCUUCCGCAGUGGGCGAGAACCUUACGCAGCAACGCCACGUGAGUUAUAGAGGUCUUCCGAUCGUGAAACUCUGUUAUUAGGGAAGAACAUACGUGUCAGUAAAUGAGCACGUCUUGACGGUAACUAAUAAGAAAGCCACGGCUAACUACGUG
rnacentral:rRNA from 1 species